rnacentral:rRNA from 1 species
GACGAACGCUGGCGGCGUGCCUAAUACAUGCAAGUAGAACGCUGAAGGAGGAGCUUGCUUCUCUGGAUGAGUUGCGAACGGGUGAGUAACGCGUAGGUAACCUGCCUGGUAGCGGGGGAUAACUAUUGGAAACGAUAGCUAAUACCGCGUAAUAGUAGAUGUUGCAUGACAUUUGCUUAAAAGGUGCAAUUGCAUCACUACCAGAUGGACCUGCGUUGUAUUAGCUAGUUGGUGGGGUAACGGCUCACCAAGGCGACGAUACAUAGCCGACCUGAGAGGGUGAUCGGCCACACUGGGACUGAGACACGGCACAGACUCCUACGGGAGGCAGCAGUAGGAAAUCUUCGGCAAUGGACGGAAGUCUGACCGAGCAACGCCGCGUGAGUGAAGAAGGUUUUCGGAUCGUAAAGCUCUGUUGUAAGAGAAGAACGAGUGUGAGAGUGGAAAGUUCACACUGUGACGGUAUCUUACCAGAAAGGGACGGCUAACUACGUG